rnacentral:rRNA from 1 species
UGGGGAAUUUUGGACAAUGGGGGAAACCCUGAUCCAGCCAUCCCGCGUGUGCGAUGAAGGCCUUCGGGUUGUAAAGCACUUUUGGCAGGAAAGAAACGUCGCGGGUUAAUACCCCGCGGAACUGACGGUACCUGCAGAAUAAGCACCGGCUAACUACGUGCCAGCAGCCGCGGUAAUACGUAGGGUGCAAGCGUUAAUCGGAAUUACUGGGCGUAAAGCGUGCGCAGGCGGUUCGGAAAGAAAGAUGUGAAAUCCCAGAGCUUAACUUUGGAACUGCAUUUUUUAACUACCGGGCUAGAGUGUGUCAGAGGGAGGUGGAAUUCCGCGUGUAGCAGUGAAAUGCGUAGAUAUGCUGAGGAACACCGAUGGCGAAGGCAGCCUCCUGGGAUAACACUGACGCUCAUGCACGAAAGCGUGGGGAGCAAACAGGAUUAGAUACCCUGGUAGUCCACGCCCUAAAGCGAUGUCAACUAGCCUGUUGGGGUCUUCGGACCUUGGUAGCGCAGCUAACGCGUGAAGUUUGACCGCCUGGGGGAGUACGGUCGCAAGAUUAAAACUCAAAUGGAAUUGACGGGGGUCAUA